rnacentral:rRNA from 1 species
GGAGGAAAGCAGGGGAUCGCAAGACCUUGCGCUUUUGGAGUGGCCGAUGCCUGAUUAGCUAGUUGGUGGGGUAAUGGCCUACCAAGGCGACGAUCAGUAGUUGGUCUGAGAGGACGACCAGCCACACUGGGACUGAGACACGGCCCAGACUCCUACGGGAGGCAGCAGUGGGGAAUUUUGGAUAAUGGGCGAAAGCCUGAUCCAGCAAUGCCGCGUGAGUGAAGAAGGCCUUCGGGUUGUAAAGCUCUUUCAGUCGAGAAGAAAAGGUUGUGACUAAUAAUCACAACUCAUGACGGUAUCGACAGAAGAAGCACCGGCUAACUACGUGCCAGCAGCCGCGGUAAUACGUAGGGUGCGAGCGUUAAUCGGAAUUACUGGGCGUAAAGGGUGCGCAGGCGGCUUUGUAAGUCAGAUGUGAAAUCCCCGGGCUUAACCUGGGAAU